UCUUACAAGAGAUAAAAGAAAGGAAGCAGAGAGUUGGGGACCUCAUACCACCAAGAAAGCAGCACCAGAAGCAGAGCAUAUCCUUUGGACCUGAGGUUCCUGUGUGAAGAAGCUCCUAGACCAAGGGAAGAUCGAUGACAAGGAUCAUCCUCCAGAGCCGAAAGAGACAGAAAGCCUUUCCCUGGAGUUGGCACCCUGAAUUCUGGACUUCUACCCUCUUAGACUGCUUAUAAAGAGGACUACAAUAUUUUGAACAUGAAUAUUACUGGACCAAACCAAGAUUUCCAAAACUUUUACACAGAAAUGGAUGGGGUUUUCAGAUUGCUGCUGAACCAGAAUUUCAUGGAACCAAAAUUAACCUCAUAGGGGUUAAAGAAGCCUCUGGUGACCAAAAGCCAGAGCCUCAAAGCCUGCCCAAUAUUGAUCCAGGAGAGUAUGUACAUGGGAAGAGGCGUUAACUGAAAGACUCCUUGGAGCCCUGUUAGAAGGGACUAUACCUGGUCCUCCUCACCAAACUGUGUGCUGCCAAACUAAGAGUCAAACCUUGGAUCCAUUUGUCACAAUUAAAGAAAGCCAAGACACCUCUGUGGAUUAGCAGGCCCUCUGGAGAACUAAAGAUUACCUUGAGAUGCUCUCAGGGCCAGAAGCAGGUAACAUCUGAGGUAGACAGCUAGCCCCAAUAUCAUAGAAUACAACCUCAUGCAUGUUGAAUUUUGUGGACUUUGCCUAACAAUUGUCACUAUUUUAAUUCUGCUAGCUUUGUCAUAUGACUGUGGUUUAAUCUCCUGGUAAGACUUGUAUGACAUGAAAUUUUGUUUAAGCUUUGUUCUUCUCUUCAUAGUAAUUCCAUUUGAGGUUUGGAAAAAAAUGCUUUUGUUAAGUUGCCCUGAUCAGUAGCAAGUGUCAGUGAUUUGAAUGAAUGUUGGAUCUGUCACCCCAAUCCAUGCGGACAUAAAAACUCAGAUCCACUAGUGUCUCCAAUAUCACAUUAGUCUUAUGCCUUAAACUGUUAUUAAUCUUAAUGUUACCUUUAAAAAACCAUAUAUGUCAGACUUUGACAUCUCCCUGGAUUAUUGGCUCAACCUCAGGUACUGUGUUUCAAUUUAGCCCAUGUCGUAAGCUGGAUACUGAAUUGCUUUAGAUACAGAAAUUUACCUAGUCUCUAUUGCAGUUUUAGCAGAUUACUACAGUAUUUCCAAACUAAUAACCCCACGCAAAUUGCUGAUUCCCCUAAGUAUUUCAAUACCUUGUCCCUGAGUAUGACUCAAUUGCCAUAUUGUCAAGAUGGAAGCCAGACAGAUCCUAAUAAUCUGUCCCUUCUUUGUACUAAACUCUGGAGCCCAGUGAGAUUAGGACAAUUACCCAUUUGUGACAAUUCUCUUGUUGAAAGUUGGUUUGAGGUUAAUAGAACUAUUUCCAAUUACAGCACUAUGAGAGAGCCUAACCCUAGUGACUAGUCCUAUGCUUAGGCGGUUGGAGAAUGCAGGGUCAAUAUAAGUUAGGGCUUUUAGGAGUUCCACCGAAUACUCAUUCUUAUAAUGAAAGUAUGCAUUGGACCAGUGAUUUGAAAAUUCCCAGUAAGAACUGAAGGGACGAUAUGUCAUCCUCUAAUCCAAUAGCUGACAAGCCUGAAAUGGGUUGAGUAUUCCUUCGGGCACUCCUGCCUACUUAUGGUAUUCCCCAACUUGAGAAACCCAUUCAUAACCUAUCCACUACAAUGGCUCAAAUUGCUGAUGAUGUUGCAGACAGAAUGGUUGUUCAACAGAUCUUUAGAAUCCAUUGUUAAAGUUGUAUUAGAUGAUAGGUUAGUUCUAGAUUUCCUCUUAGCUCAGCAAGGUGAAGUUUGUGUUAUUGACAAUACUUCCUGUUAUGCCUGGAUUAACAAUACAGGAGAAGUACAAGAUAUCUGAAAAAUUUGCCAACAGGUUACAUACAUACAUUCAAUACCUCUUAUGCUUGAUUCUCCUUUCCUAGAUAUCUUUAGCUGGUUACUGACUGGUAUAGGUUCUUGGCUGUAUUACAUAUUACAAACUGGCCUAAUCAUUUUAAUUACAGUAAUCAUUAUUAUAGGAAUAAUCAAAUGCUUUAUGAAAUUUCUGUUCAAUGCUUGGAACCAGUCCACCACUUUGCUGUGCAGAGGACUAUGUAUCUUGAAUCUUUAGAGAAGACUACUUUCACACCUUGAGUUAGCCCUUCAGUUAAGUUGUUCCUCCUAAUGUGGCUCUACACUAACCUUGCCUUGCAGAUCACAGCAGAGUAUCUGAACUAUGGCAUGGUGAAGAAAUGGGGAAUGAUUUUAAUCUAUGAACAAAAACCACUCUGAACAAUGACCAUGGAGAAGGAAACACUCUUACAAUAGUGAUCAAAGAAUCUCCAUUGAGAUUCAUGAUCAAAAGGGGGUAAUGUGUGAGUGCCCCCUAAAAAUCUGAGGUGCUUGGCAUGACUAAGAUGGCUGACUCAGGUUUGAAUCAUGCUCCAUUUUGCUCCUAACCUCCACUUCUGCUUUUAGACUGUGCAUGGAAUUUUCCAUUCUUGUAGUUUUAACUACCCCCCUUGGGCAAUCAAGGAAGGAGCAAGAAUGUGGUUAAACAUACGGCAAAAUGUUACCUAGGCAGAGGGUCUUGUGACUCUAUUUUGAAAGACUGCUUGCACAGACUGUUCUCAGAUAAGUUGAUGUAAAGAAAGAUUUUUUUUGUUCCUCUACACUGUAUAUAAAAAUCACUCUCUACCUAACCCUUUGGAACACUUCACACUUAUGCUUUGUGCCGACUAGUCUGAACCACUCUAUUCCUCAAUAAAGCUCUACUGUUCUCUAUUUGGAAACCCUGGUAGCGUAGUGGUUAAGUGCUACAGCUGCUAACCAAGAGGUCGGCAGUUCAAAUCUGCCAGGCACUCCUUGGAAACUCUAUGGGGCAGUUCUACUCUGUUCUAUAGGGUCGCUAUGAGUUGGAAUCGACUCGAUGGCAGUGGGUGGUGGGUGUUCUCUAUUUACAGAGUCCAGGCAUAACUCUGCACUUUGACAAAGCUAAAGGAACAGAGACUUCAGGGACCACACAUGACAAAGAGUAUAGACUUUACAGAAUUAGUUGAGAAAAACACACUAAAUAAAUAUCAACUACAAAAAAAGAGCCAAAACAAAUCCCAGGGAUAGGAAAGAAUCUGAUUUCCACAGCUGCCAAAUUAUAAUAUUAAAAAUGUCCAAUUUUGUUUUCAACAGAAAUUACAAGGCAUGCAAAGAAAGCACAUGGCCCUUACACAGGAAAAAAAUCAAUAGAAAUCAUGCCCAAAGAAGUGCAGGCAUUGGUGUUUCUAGACAAAGACUUUAAAUCAGCUAAUGGAAACCCUGGUGGCAUAGUGGUUAAGAGCUACAGCUGCUAACCAAAAGGUUGGCAGUUCUAAUCCACCAGACGCUCCUUGGAAACCCUAUUGGGCGGUUCUACUCUGUCCUAUAGGCUCACUAUGAGUCGGAAUCAACUCAAUGGCAACUUUUUUUUUUUUUAAUGUUUAAUGAGGUAAAGGAAGAAUUAAAGUAUGAAAAUGGUGUCUCAAUAAAUUGAGAAUAUUAAUCCCUCUUGCUGUCAAGUUGAACCUGAUUCAUAGCAGCCCUAUAGGACAGAGUAAAACUGCCCUAUACUGUUUCCAAGGCUGUAAUCUUUACGGAAUUAGAGUGCCACAUCUCUCUCCUGUGGAGAGGGUGGUGGGUUCGAAUCACAGACCUUUUGUUUAGCAGCCUAGUACUUAACCACUGCCACCAGGGCUCUGAGAAUAUUAAUAAAGAGAAAUUAUAUAUACACCAAAUAAAAUUCUGGAGUUGGAUAGUACGUCAACAAAUGGGAUAUUCACUAGACUGACUCAACAGAUUUAAGCAGGCACCAGAAGGAAUCAGCAAAUGUGAAGGUAGGUCAUUUGAGAUUAUUCUGAGGAACAGAAAGAAAAAAAAAAAAAGAACACAGCC